rnacentral:lncRNA from 1 species
UUAUAGGUAUUAAAUAAGAAAAUAAAAUUAAGAAAAAGAACAACUUUUUUUUUUAUUAAACGGUAAAAAUGAUCACUCUAAAUCUUUCCAACCUUAUUAUGCUUACAAACUGGAACUCUUUCUGCCUUGCCAAUAUCAUGCAGUGGUCCGAAAACCCUAAUACCAGCCUAGUUCCUCAAGUUCAGAUCAAUGCUAAAUUCCCCUGAUAUGGGAUUGACUGUGAUAACUAAUACAAUAUGGGGGAUUUCAAUUGUACAUCAAAAGUUUAUGUAGCAGAGGUUCUCUUUACUUUCAGCAGUCCCAUCUGAAAUUUGCUACUGGAUGAUCACUCAAAAUCGAGCUACCAGCUUUCUCUGUUGAGGUGCAGACUAGACUCGUUUCUUAGAACAUCGAAUUUCCCAUUGUUCCCUAAAUUUUCAAAUCAUCCCAAUCAAGGGAUUCGUUUUCAUAAUCAUAUUGUUGAUGCCUACCGCGUGACAACCUGCCCAUUACAGCCAAACCUGAAACAAUCCGGCCAUGUUGAAUCAGAAAGUGUAGGCAAAACCACUUAUACCUGAUCGUCAAAAUUCACUAAAAAAAAAAAAGAAUAACCACGGUUGUUGUAAUGAUCAACUUCUACCACAACUACAAUGCUUGUGCACGCAUGCAAGUAAUCAGUGAACAUAUGUUUAGUGUAUGCACACAGGAAAAUUGUGGCUGUACCUUCAAUCAUUCUGUAGAAAGCUGACCACCAUCCAUCUUGGGGAACUUGGCUCUGUUGCAGUGUAUCACAUAUCGCUUCGUCAUACUUCCCCACCAGGACAUCCUGCAGCCUUAUAACUGCAUCUUUCGUUUUCCUGAGGAUGCUGUCCUCGUCUCCAACAUCCAACAUUGGAAGACCAUUCUCUGAAGAAGCGAGACUAACAACCAGGGCGAGUUGGGCAGCUGCAGCCCAUCUUGAAGAGUCUAUCCAUCUAUGAUCAUUCUUCCUUUUACUCAACUUAUUCUCUUUACUUUCAAGCACCAGGCUAUACAAGUAUUGAGCAUUUGCUGGACCUGUACUUUGAACCAUCCUAGAGAAUGCGCUUCCUUUGUUUGGUAGUAGCAGUUCCUCUGGGGUGCCAUGUUCUAAGACCUGAAAGGUUGAUGAUUCUAACAUGAGUUGAACAAAGGAUCACUACAUGACAUAUUGGAAUCAUAAAAAAAUUGUGAAUGAAGUUGGUUAGCAUGAAAAUUCUUGAUGAUCCCUGCUUCUUUCUUUUUUUACAUUAAUUUUUUCAGGAUUGUGUUCAAUAAACUCAGUUUUCCAAGCAAGAAGGAAACAGGGAACAACUUCCUUGCAAACAUAAUUUGAGAGCAUACCUGAUCAGCCUCAAGCACAAGAAUUCUGUCGCAGUCAAUAAUGGUAUUUAGUCUGUGAGCGAUGACUAGCAUUGUGCAGGAUCUGAAUUCUUCUCGAAUGGUUUUCUGGAUAAGAGCAUCGGUUCUAACAUCAACAGAAGCAGUAGCUUCAUCAAGAACAAGAAUCUUAGAUCUUCGCAGCAACGCUCGUGCGAGACUUAGUAGUUGUCUCUGUCCAACACUAAAAUUCUCCCCUCCCUCAAAAACCUUAGAAACCAAAACAAAUCAACUUUACAGUUUGCUUUACCCGAUAAUCAACUUAAUGUUGUGCACAUCUGAAAAAAAUAUGUAUUAAAAACAUUUCUUUGACUUUAAAUCAGCUUUAAUGAAAAUCGAUGCCAUAGUUUUUUAGUAGAAUGUUUGCAGUGGAGCACUAUUUCCACCCAUAUGUGUGCUUCAUAUUAGUUUUUGUCACACAUUUUUAACAUUGUUUUUAAAAUAUAUGAAUAGCUAACACAGUUUGACUGAUUAAGAUUCACUGACAGAAGGUAGUUUGAUAAAAGGUAAUCUAAGUCCAUACCUCAGCAUCCAGACCAAAAGAAUUAUUUCUAAUGGCAUCCUUUAAAUGUGCCCUCUCCAAAGCCUCCCAUAGGUCAGCAUCAUUGUGUUCACUAAAUGGAUCGAGAUUAAAUCGCACAGUUCCUAUAAGAAAACGAAAGACAAUUAGAAUGAAACAAGUGUUAAGAUUAAUCACCACUGUGGCUUCAGCUUGGCUAUGGUUUCUCAAUCAAAUCUCAAGUAUUCUUGGUUAGCAAGCUUUCAAGUGGAAAACAAAAUCAAAACAGAGUAAGAGCAUAAAUCAUCUCAACUCAUCCAAAAGACAGUAUCAGAUGUCAACAUAAGAAAAGAAGUUGAAGAAGUUGAACUAGAAAAAUCCAGUUUUCAGUUUCUCUUGACAGUACCUGAGAAGAGAACUGGUGAUUGGGGUAUGAUACUGAGAAUUUUCCGCAAAUCUGUGAGUCCAAACUUAGCAACGUCACAACCAUCAAUGGUGAUUUCUCCUCUUUCCAGUUCUACAAUACGGAACAGUGCAUUUAGCAUGCUAGAUUUCCCUGCUCCUGUUCUUCCAACUAUUCCUAGCUUUUCACUAGGAGAGACUUCAAAGGACAAAUGAUGCAAGACUGGAGGAAGCUCGGGUCUGUAACGCAGAAAAACAUCCCUGAAUUUAAUUGAACCUGAAGAAGGCCAAGCAGGAGGAGGACGAUUGGUCUCGACAAUGGCAGGAGCUUCGGAUGGUAAAUCCAUGUAUGUGCCAACACGCUCAACAGAGUUUAAGCUAUUUUCAGCUCUACUAGCUUGUCUUAGAACAUUACUCAACAAAUCAGUGAUGUUCAAAGUAUAACUAAGUAGUAGACCCAUUACAGAUGCAAAUUCCACAUGAUUUUCUGUUCUUCCAUUCCCCAAAACUGCAAAUGUUGCUAUCAACCAAAUCAUGAUCCCUCCUAGUGUUACCAACCUUAUGGUGAGCCAGCGAUUUGAACUCAUAUUUACAAGAGUGAACCUGAUAUUAUUGUCCAUAGACUUUCCAUUGAUGAUUGCCAUCCAAUCAUAUGCUUUAUAUGCACGAAUACUUGACAAACCAUUUAACGCUUCUCCAAAUUGUGCAUAAACCGGAGACCUGGUAAUAGAAUCCAGACGUUUCACUUCACGGGAAGUGCUCUGUACAAUACAGUACAAGAGUAUAGUUAUUAGAGCUUGUAGAUACAAUACUGACAAGAUGAAUUAACUAGCAUAAAAAUGUCAAUUCAACAUUAAUGGAUAUAUAUGAUUGCAGAAACAUUAAUGGAUAUAUAUGAUUGAAGCUCAGAAAGAUAACUCUUACAUGUGGAACUGAUAAAAACAACAACAAUAACUUGAUACGUGAAAGAAACCACUCGUAGAGCAUCCCAACCAAGAUACUAAAGUUACAUUCAUUGCAAAAGGCAUACCAGUUUCCAAACAACAACAACAACUAGGGAUUUCUCAUCAUACCUGAUAAUAUAGAUAUGCUGAAUAAAACAAGAUCAGAAGUGGCAUAAUGGCCCACAAUGAUAUUGUGCUCACAAUGCCUAUCAGCACAAAAGUUGAAAACAGCUGCCAGGCUUGGUUUAGAAAAUUGUUGGCAAAAUUGGCAACAUUACGAUCUAUUUCACCUAGAUCCUUCGCAAACCUAUUGAUUAUUCUCCCAGAUGGGUUCGUGUGGAAAAAUAGCAUGGGAGCUCGUAGGAUAGAGUCUAGCAUGGCAUCAUGAAGUCUUUUAGCUGCAUGUAGACUUGAACUGAUUAACCAAUAAGAGUUCACUAGAGUCACAAUCACCUGAACCAGAAAUAUGAAGUAAGACUCUAAUGACCAUAGCAAUUACAUAAAUUCUAAAGUUUCUUCCUCACUACUUCUCUUUUUUGUUUCACAUCUGUUAUUCUAUGUUAAAAAACAACUACAAAUAAAAGAAAGUAGAAUGGAUUAAGAUAUUGAUGCCAACUAUGGCUGUGAACAAACCUGACCAAAUGAUAGAAGUGCAUACACGAAAAUGUAGUAUCCUGGCUUAUAACUCUCCAAAGUGCUUUGAUUAGUCCAAAAACUCAACCAUGUACUUCUUGAAACUCGAAGAACUUCAGUUAAUAAGUAGCACAAAAAGAUUAUCAAAACCACCCAUAUGCCUCCUAAUGCAUUGUUAUACCUGCAAAUGGACAUAAAAAUGUCAAGUACAAGAGCAACAAAAUUAUCUUCGAAUGUUUCAUGUUUAUGACUAUCAUACAUGCUAUUGAAAACUACGAAAUAUUAAUGCAUUCACAUUACAGAACGGCCAUUAGUUGAAAAAAUGUUUCUACCACUGGUUUUAAGUGCUUGCUGGAGAGCUUAAAACUACAAAGAUACUGUAUAAAAUGAGAACAUCUACAGUAAGUAGUUGGUAUCCAAUGGGCAUUAAAUGGUUUUGCAUCCAAAAUAUGUGCAUUUGAGCAUCACUAGUCUUCAGGAUAUCCACCUUGGCCACAAUUAUGGUACAGCAGUUAAAGACUAGGAAAUAUGUUUUCAACUUUGACCCGCAUUGAAGUUUUCUUAGUAAAUCAAAGAGGUUUACCUAUGAACUUGGUUUGCACGCUUCGCUGCUGUGAGCAUCAUAUAAAAAUAUGUUGAAUGUAUUCAGAAAAGGGUCCUUAUCCUAAGGCAUUGUUUAGAAAUUGCGCAAACAAUCAAAGAAAUAAAAUAUAGCAAGAAUCUUAAAUAAGCCCCCUAAAUUACCUUGUCAAAACAUUCCAACUGACAACACCUGUUUCACGUUCUUCUUGCUUGAUAAGUACAGAUUUCCCUCCUUUCACUUUCAUUUUGGAACCUGCUUUUUGUGGCAAAUCAUUUCCCCCAUUAGCCGCUGGUUUUGAGCUUUUGUAGUCUAAAUUUUCACUGUUCUUUUCUUCCACUAGCUCUUCCAUUUUCCCUGCAUUUUCCAUCAGCUUCUGGAACAGCUUGCCAUUUUUAGAGAGUUCCUCAAAGGUUCCCUCCUCUUUAAUCAUACCUUCACUGAGAAGAAUAAUUUUAUCCACUUGUGGAAGAAAAUGUAGCUGGUUGGUGACAAGAACCCUGGUUUUUCCUUGCAACUCGUCCUUAAUACAACUGUUGAAGACCUGUAAAUUUGAGAUUAGGCUAAUAUUUAGCUUAAACAGAAGCUUUUUAAGCUUGCUUUUAGAGCUUCGAUGUGUAAAGCUAGCGAUUGUCAAAGUCAUGAAACACUAAAGUAAUAUGAAAAAGAAGCAGAGAGAAAUUCCCUCGAACUCAUAACCUGGUCUUCAAGGAAUAAAAUUGUUGGAAUAAAGUUAUUGAAUGUUCACUUUGUAUAAAGAAAGCUUAAUAAUAAAGAGCUGCUCAUCACUGUGAACCAUAUCAAGCUUGUUAUAAGAUAUAUUUAGGUAGCACUAGUGAUCAAAUUAACUUUAAUGUGAGCUUAUAGUAUUUAACUUGACCCAGUACCUGUCGACCGACAUGAGCAUCUAAAGCACUUAAAGGGUCAUCAAAUAUGUACACAUCUGAAUCGGAAAGACUAAUUAAUCAGAACACUUUGUAUAGGAGGAAACAUUUAUUAAUCAAUAAUAAAUUACAAACUGGAACUCUUUCUGCCUUGCCAAUAUCAUGCAGUGGUCCGAAAACCCUAAUACCAGCCUAGUUCCUCAAGUUCAGAUCAAUGCUAAAUUCCCCUGAUAUGGGAUUGACUGUGAUAACUAAUACAAUAUGGGGGAUUUCAAUUGUACAUCAAAAGUUUAUGUAGCAGAGGUUCUCUUUACUUUCAGCAGUCCCAUCUGAAAUUUGCUACUGGAUGAUCACUCAAAAUCGAGCUACCAGCUUUCUCUGUUGAGGUGCAGAACAGACUCAUUUCUUAGAACAUCGAAUUUCCCAUUGUUCCCUAAAUUUUCAAAUCAUCCCAAUCAAGGGAUUCGUUUUCAUAAUCAUAUUGUUGAUGCCUACCGCGUGACAACCUGCCCAUUACAGCCAAACCUGAAACAAUCCGGCCAUGUUGAAUCAGAAAGUGUAGGCAAAACCACUUAUACCUGAUCGUCAAAAUUCACUAAAUAAAAGAAGAAUAACCACGGUUGUUGUAAUGAAUCAACUUCUACCACAACUACAAUGCUUGUGCACGCAUGCAAGUAAUCAGUGAACAUAUGUCUAGUGUAUGCACACAGGAAAAUCUUGACUGUACCUUCAAUCUUCUGUAGAAAGCUGACCACUGUUGCAAGCUGAAUUCUGAGGGAACCGAUGGGAAGGGAACUAAAUGGCGUUGCUAGAAUAGUUGGUGUAUUUCCAGUUAGCAUGAAGGCAUUUUCCAGUAACCAGAGAAUAGAAGAAUUUGAGAGAGAAAGAGAGAAGGCUGAGAGGAGGAUAGAACACGUUGAUUGUAUUUUUCUUUCUUGUUGUGUUCGUUACAUGCACGUUUACAGAUAUAGGAAUUAAUUCGAAAUCUAGAAUGCCACAUGAGGCUUGUUAUGAAUUAACAACUAACAAUUUGUUAACAGAAGAAUAACCGAAUGAAAAACAGAAUUGAAAUAACUGAAUGAAAGCCGUUAGUUGAUAUUUGUCCUUCGUGCCACCUCAGCCUUUUAUUUAAACGGUGCGUAUAAGCUGGGAAGUUGUUCAAGACGACACCGUAGCUUCAUCCAUCUUUUAAUUUGAAAGUCUUCAUAUUCUUCGCGCCACUGUUCGUCCCGCUUCAUAACAAUAUUCCCCCCUUAAAAAUGUUCCUUGUCCUCAAGGAAAAAUUGUGGAUACCUCAGACGAAGAUCCUCAGCAAAUUCCCAGGUGGCCUCAGAUGGGGAGAGGGUCUUCCAGUGAAUCAAAACCUGAGUGGCUGCUUGCCUGUGAUGUUGAACCAUUCUUCUGUCGAGAAUGGCUUGGGGUUGCAGUGCAGGUUCUUUGGGUAAGGUAGGUAACUGGUCAUGGACGAUUUUGUGUCCCACAUGUUGCUUUAAUUGGGACACAUGAAAGACGGGGUGUAUUGCACUGGAACUGGGAAGUUGUAACCGAUAUGCUACGGCUCCUAUGCAUGCUGUAACUUGAUAAGGGCCAUAAUAUUUAGCUGCUAGUUUGUGUGAGGCUCGCCUACUCACGGUGUGUUGUCUGUAGGGCUGCAACUUGAGAUAAACCCAAUCUCCCACGGUGAAGGUGCGUUCACUACGCUUUUUGUUCGCCAGUUGGACCAUGCGGUGUUGAGCUAGCUGUAGGUUAGCUUUAAUAGUGUUGAGCAUAUCUUCACGCAGAGUCAACUGUUGAUCGACAGCUUCGAUACUGGAGUCCUUAGGGAAGUAAGGUAUGUGGACUGGAGGAAUGUGGCCAUAUAAAACUUCAUACGGCGUGGCUUUGAGGGAGGAAUGGAAGUUGGUAUUGUACCACCAUUCAGCCAAAGGAAGCCAUUUACACCAUUGAUCCGGAGUCUUGUUAGUCAUGCAUCUGAGAUACUGCUCUAAGCAACGAUUCACUACUUCGGUUUGGCCGUCGGUCUGAGGAUGGUAUGCAGUAGAAUGUAACAGUUGAACCCCUUGAUAGGUGAAGAGAUCCUUCCAGAACCUGCUUAGGAACACAGGAUCUCGGUCACUGACUAUAGAAGCUGGUAAUCCGUGAAGCUUGUAAACGUUGUUCAUGAAGGCAUCUGCAACUGAGGUUGCAGUAUAAGGGUGUGAUAGGCCAAUGAAAUGUGCGUAUUUGCUGAACCUAUCGACUACGACUAACACCACAUUUUUCCCUUUUGAAUUUGGCAGCCCUUCGAUGAAGUCCAUACUGAUGUCUACAAAUGGUGCCAGGGGUAUAGGGAGAGGCUGAAGUAAGCCAGGAGUGAGGACAUUCUCAGUUUUGUUUUUCUGGCAAACGUGACACUCCCUUACAUAUGCCCGCACAUGCCUCUGUUGUUUUCUCCAAUAGAACAGUGAUCCUACUCUUUUAGCCGUGGCAGUGAUGCCAGAGUGCCCUCCCAAUGCAGAAUCAUGAUAGAGUGAAAUGAGUUGUCUUUGUAAGUCUGGAUUAUUGCCCACCACUAGUUUCCCCUUCCUGUAUAGAUGUGCAUUCGUCCAUGCAAAGAAUGGAUGUGAAUUAGGAUUUUGUUGCAGCUGAGUAAUAAUCCUUGCUAGAUUGAUAUCUGUCGUCCAAGAGGCCUGAACAGCUUCUAGUAAAUUGGUCGAGAUGGUGGAGAGGGUGAGUGAGAAGACUUCACUACUGGAGCAUCUAGAUAAAGCAUCAGCAGCAAUAUUUUCCUUCCCCUUUCGGUACUCUAUAUCAUAAUCAAAGCCUAAGAGUUUGGUGAGCCAUAAGUGUUGAGAUGGAUAGGAUACCUUUUGAGCCAACAUGUAUUUGAGACUGACAUGAUCAGUCCUGAUCGUGAAAUGCCCCCAAAGGUAGUGUCUCCAUUUGGUGACUGCCUGCAAGAUAGCUAGCAUUUCGCGUUCAUAGGUUGAUAGAGCUUGUUGUCGGGGUCCCAGAGCCUUGCUGAUGAACGCAAUAGGAUGCCCUGCCUGCAUAAGAACAGCCCUAGACCUGAGCCUGAUGCAUCUGUUUCAACUACAAAAGGUUGGCUAAGAUCGGGCAGGGAAAGAACUGGAGGUUGAAUCAUAGCCUGUUUUAAAGUUUGGAAAGCUGUCAGCGCCUCUUCCUGCCAGAUGAAGGCAUCUUUCUUGAGUAAUUGAGUGAGGGGCUUGCUGAUGGAGCCAUAAUUUUUGACAAACCUGCGAUAGUACCCUGUAAGACCCAAGAACCCCCUUAGUUGCUUGACAUUUUGUGGUUCUGGCCAAUCUCUCACAGCCUGAAUUUUUCUGGGAUCCGUGGCUACUCCCUCUUUAGAAAUGACAUGCCCCAAAUACUCAACUUGAGGAAUUCCAAAGGCACACUUGCUGCGUUUGGCUACCAGCUGGUGUUCUUGAAGUAACUUGAAUACAAUCUGUAAAUGCUGCAGGUGAUCUGCCAUGGAUUGACUGUAGAUGAGAAUAUCAUCAAAGAAGACCAGCACAAAUUUCCUGAGAUGCUUGCGGAAGACAUCAUUCAUCAAGCUUUGGAAGGUGGCAGGGGCGUUGGUGAGGCCAAAUGGCAUGACUAAGAACUCAUAGUGACCACUAUGCGUCCGAAAAGCUGUCUUGAAGAUAUCCCCAGAAGCCAUGCGAAUCUGGUGAUAACCAGAACGUAAGUCUACCUUAGAGAACACUGUUGCUCCCACCAGUUCUUCUAACAAUUCAUCUACUAUAGGAAUUGGAAAUUUAUCCUUGAUGGUGAGCUGAUUGAGAGCCCUGUAGUCGACACAAAACCGCCAGGAUCCAUCCUUCUUUUUCACUAACACCACAGGAGAUGCAUAUGGACUGUUACUUUGCUGGAUAAUUCUAGAGGCAAGCAUCUCCUCCACCAUUUUCUCAAGUAUAUCUUUUUGCAUUCCAGAAUAUCUGUAGGGUCUGAGGUUGAUUGCUUGAGCUCCCUCCUUCAUAGGGAUAGAGUGAUCGUGGUAUCUGAUUGGAGGUAGGCCUUCAGGUGCGUUGAAUAGCUCCUUGAAAGAUUCUAGCAAUGUGUUCAAGCCAUACUGUUCCUGUUGUUCCUGUGUAGUUGCAGGUAGCAUAGAAUGUACCUUGUCGUUGUUGUCCUCCUCAAGAUUGAUUAUACUGCAUAGAUUCAUCCCUGUUAGCUGCAUAGGAUUAAGCAUCAAACUGUUAAGUUGUGCCAGCUCAAUAGCCUUUUGCUGCAGUCAGUGCCCCUCAGCACUACAUUCUAAUUUUGCCAAAUGAAGGACAUCCAGAGAUCCUUAUAGUUGGAAACGAUAUUUCCAAGGGUUGCAAGCCAUUGAAUACCCAGAACCAUGUCACAGUUGAUUAAAUCAACAAUGAAGACAUCUGUCUCGAAAUUAACCCCUUGCAUUCUCCACCUGAAAUUCUUGCACAUAGCUGAGCAGUGCAUAGUACCUCCAUUUGCUGUUUCGACCACCAGAGUCCUGAUGGGUGUAGCCAAGCAUUGUAGUUUGUUGGCAGUUGCACUGCUGAGGAAGUUAUGGGUGCUGCCUGAGUCGAUUAAUAUAUACACAGAAUGGUGAUCAGCCUUGCCAGUUACUCUUAAGGUGUGACAACCUCUUGUUCCCUCCAGCGCAUUAAGAGAAAUGUGAGGAAUAAGUGACUCCGGUUCCUCAACAUUGAUUUCCCCUUCUCGGUCCAUAUUGUCUUCAUCAUCUUCAACUAUGCAUAAGGAGUAUAACCUUUUGUUUUUGCAUCUGUGUCCUGGGGUAAAACGCUCAUCACACCAGAAACAUAACCCCUUGGCUCUUCGUUCUUCCAAAUCUCUGGGUCUUAUGGCUCUGGUAGGUUUUUGUGAGAAGUGUGAAGAGUGACCAGUUGGGGUAGGCAGUAUGCCACCUUGCUGUGGUUUGAAGGUGUUGUGGUUUGGUGUUACUGGUGGCCUUGAAUAGGGCAGGGGUGGGCUUGGUUUAAAAGGGGUAGCAUUAGAUAAAACUGGGGAGGUGUAUUGAUGUUGUGUAGGUAUUGAUCUUCUAUAGGCAAGGGUGUUCUCUUGCAACCUGGCAAGGUUAUAGGCUUGUUUUAGUGCCUUGGGAUCAAACAUUUUCACUGGAUUCUUGAUCUCUAUCUCUAACCCUCCAAUGAAGAAUACCAUUGCUUGCUUUUCACUGAUGUCUGCCUUGUUCCACAGGAUAUCGAAGUCUUGAAUAUAGGCGUCCAAGUUGCCUGUCUGCCUUAAUUCCAUCAGUUCUUCAAGCGGGUUUUGUUGACAUCCAAAUCUGCCACACAAUGCUUCAGUGUAUUCCUCCCAUGUAGCCUCCUGACCUCCUAGGCUUCGUGUAAAAUUUUGAUGCCAGUAUAGAGCCAUACCAUCCAAGUAGAAUGAAGCAAGCUUAACCUUCUCUGCUCCUUUGAUUUCUUCCAUAUCAAAAUACUGAUUGCAUUUAUACAACCAUUUGUGAACAUCUUCUCCUUCAAAACAUGGAAAAUCUCUGCGAGGCUUGUGUGUCUUAUAAGAAGAGUGUCCUUCUGCACCAAAACUGGCUGGUUUAGAAGAAGAUCCUCCCAUACGUGAGUCUUGAUGGCCUUUUGCAGGACCCUGCUCCAUGGUAGCUGUCUGCAUUUUUUGUAGAAGAGUAGUCUGUUGAUAGGCUAAUCCGCUGAUGAGCUCUUUAAGUUCCUCAAUCUUAGUGUCUUGAGUCAAUUUGGUUGUCUGUGCUUGUUGGCCAUAGGUUUCCAACAGAGUCAAAACCUGCUCAUGACGCAUCAUUUGUUCCUUGUUUGCAACUUCAAAGGAUUCCUCCAACUUCUUAAGAUCGUGAGACCUCGUGUCUGGUGGCAUUCUAGAGGUCUGAAGAUCAGAAGCUCUGAUACCACUUGUUGCAAGCUGAAUUCUGAGGGAACCGAUGGGAAGGGAGCUAAAUGGCGUUGCUAGAAUAGUUGGUGUAUUUCCAGUUAGCAUGAAGGCAUUUUCCAGUAACCAGAGAAUAGAAGAAUUUGAGAGAGAAAGAGAGAAGGCUGAGAGGAGGAUAGAACACGUUGAUUGUAUUUUUCUUUCUGUGUGUUCGUUACAUGCACGUUUACAGAUAUAGGAAUUAAUUCGAAAUCUAGAAUGCCACAUGAGGCUUGUUAUGAAUUAACAACUAACAAUUUGUUAACAGAAUAACCGAAUGAAAAACAGAAUUGAAAUAACUGAAUGAAAGCCGUUAGUUGAUAUUUGUCCUUCGUGCCACCUCAGCCUUUUAUUUAAACGGUGCGUAUAAGCUGGGAAGUUGUUCAAGACGACACCGUAGCUUCAUCCAUCUUUUAAUUUGAAAGUCUUCAUAUUCUUCGCGCCACUGUUCGUCCCGCUUCAUAACAACCACCAUCCAUAUCGCUUCGUCAUACAUCCCCACCAGGACAUCCUCCAGCCUUACAACUGCAUCUUACGUUUUCCUGAGGAUGUUGUCCUCGUCUCCAACAUCCAACAUUGGAAGACCAUUCUCUGAAGAAGCGAGACUAACAACCAGGGCCAGUUGGGCAGCAGCAGCCCAUCUUGAAGAGUCUAUCCAUCUAUGAUCAUUCUUCCUUUUACUCAACUUAUUCUCUUUACUUUCAAGCACCAGGCUAUACAAGUAUUGAGCAUUUGCUGGACCUGUACUUUGAACCAUCCUAGAGAAUGCGCUUCCUUCGUUUGGUAGUAGCAGUUCCUCUGGGGUGCCAUGUUCUAAGACCUGAAAGGUUGAAGAUUCUAACAUGAGUUAAACAAAGGAUCACUACAUGACAUAUUGGAAUCAUAAAAAAUUGUGAAUGGAGUUGGUUAGCAUGAAAAUUCUUGAUGAUCCCUGCUUCUUUCUUUUUUCACAUUAAUUUUUUCAGGAUUGUGUUCAAUAAACUCAGUUUUCCAAGCAAGAAGGAAACAGGGAACAAAUUCCUUGCAAACAUAAUUUGAGAGCAUACCUGACCAGCCUCAAGCACAAGAAUUCUGUCGCAGUCAAUAAUGGUAUUUAGUCUGUGAGCGAUGACUAGCAUUGUGCAGGAUCUGAAUUCUUCUCGAAUGGUUUUCUGGAUAAGAGCAUCGGUUCUAACAUCAACAGAAGCAGUAGCUUCAUCAAGAACAAGAAUCUUAGAUCUUCGCAGAAGCGCUCGUGCAAGACUUAGUAGCUGUCUCUGUCCAACACUAAAAUUCUCCCCUCCCUCAAAAACCUUAGACACCAAAACAAAUCAACUUUACAGUUUGCUUUACCCGAUAAUCAACUUAAUGUUGUGCACAUCUGAAAAAAAUAUGUAUUAAAAACAUUUCUUUGACUUUAAAUCAGCUUUACUGAAAAUCGAUGCCAUAGUUUCUUAGUAGAAUGUUUGCAGUGGAGAACUAUUUCCACCCAUAUGUGUGCUUCAUAUUAGUUUUUGUCACAUUUUUAACAAUGUUGUUAAAAUAUAUGAAUAGCUAACACAGUUUGACUGAUUAAGAUUCACUGACAGAAGGUAGUUUGAUAAAAGGUAAUCUAAGUCCAUACCUCAGCAUCCAGACCAAAAGAAUUAUUUCUAAUGGCAUCCUUUAAAUGUGCCCUCUCCAAAGCCUCCCAUAGGUCACCAUCAUUGUGUUCACUAAAUGGAUCGAGAUUAAAUCGCACAGUUCCUAUAAGAAAAUGAAUGACAAUUAGAAUGAAACAAGUGUAAAGAUUAAUCACCAAUGUGGCUUCAGCUUGGCUAUGGUUUCUCAAUCAAAUCUCAAGUAUUCUUGGUUAGCAAGCUUUCAAGUGGAAAACAAAAUCAAAACAGAGUAAGAGCAUAAAUCAUCUCAACUCAUCCAAGAGACAGUAUCAGAUGUCAACAUAAGAAAAGAAGUUGAACUAGAAAAAUCCAGUUUUCAGUUUCUCUUGACAGUACCUGAGAAGAGAACUGGUGAUUGGGGUAUGAUACUGAGAAUUUUCCGCAAGUCUGCGAGUCCAAACUUAGCAACGUCACAACCAUCAAUGGUGAUUUCUCCUCUUUCCAGUUCUACAAUACGGAACAGUGCAUUUAGCAUGCUAGAUUUCCCUGCUCCUGUUCUUCCAACUAUUCCUAGCUUUUCACUAGGAGAGACUUCAAAGGACAAAUGAUGCAAGACUGGAGGAAGCUCGGGUCUGUAACGCAGAACAACAUCCCUGAAUUUAAUUGAUCCUGACGAUGGCCAAGCAGGAGGAGGACGAUUGGUCUCGACAAUGGCAGGAGCUUCAGAGGGUAAAUCCAUGUAUGUGCCAACACGCUCAACAGAGUUUAAGCUAUUUUCAGCUUUACUAGCAUGUCUUAGAACAUUACUCAACAGACUAGUGAUGUUCAAAGUAUAACUAAGUAGUAGACCCAUUACAGAUGCAAAUUCCACAUGAUUUUCAGUUCUUCCAUUCCCCAAAACUGCAAAUGUUGCUAUCAACCAAAUCAUGAUCCCGCCUAGUGUUACCAACCUUAUGGUGAGCCAGUGAUUUGAACUCAUAUUUACAAGAGUAAACCUGAUAUUAUUGUCCAUAGACUUCCCAUUGAUGAUUGCCAUCCAAUCAUAUGCUUUAUAUGCACGAAUACUUGACAAACCAUUUAACGCUUCUCCAAAUUGUGCAUAGAUUGGAGACCUAGUAAUGGAAUCCAGACGUUUUACUUCACGGGAUGUGCUCUGUACAAUACAGUACAAGAGCAUAGUUUUUAGAGCUUGUAGAUACAAUACUAACAAGAUGAAUUAACUACCAUAAAAAUAUCAAUUCAACAUUAAUGGAUAUAUAUGAUUGCAGAAAUAGUGACUAUGAGGAAUUACAAUGAGAUAUUUAAACAACAGGUAAUGGGUAAAAUGUUUUAAACACGUACAUAGUUGAAGGUUAUGGAGUUCUUUUUCUAGCUGAAGAUCUUUUAAUUGAGCCUACAUGAAUUCUGACAUGAAAAACUUCAGAAUUUAUGUAAUUGUUAUGGUCUAAGGUUCUUCUAAAUUUUAAGAGACAUGCAUGUUUGGCUUAUUUAGGAUCUAAGUGGCGUUAUCUCAGAAGAUAACUCUUACAUGUGGAACUGAUAAAAACAACAAUAAAUUGAUGCAUGAAAGAAACCACCUCGUAGAGCAUCCCAACCAAGAUACUAAAGUUACAUUCAUUGCAAAAGGCAUACCAGAUUCAAAACAACAACAACUAGGGAUUUCUCAUCAUACCUGAUAAUAUAGAUAGGCUGAAUAAAACAAGAUCAGAAGUGGCAUAAUGGCCCACAAUGAUAUUGUGCUCACAAUGCCUAUCAGCACAAAAGUUGAAAACAGCUGCCAGGCUUGGUUUAGAAAAUUAUUGACAAAAUUGGCAACGUUACGAUCUAUUUCACCUAGAUCCUUCGCAAACCUAUUGAUUAUUCUCCCGGAUGGGUUAGUGUGGAAAAAUAGCAUGGGAGCUCGUAGGAUAGAGUCUAGCAUGGCAUCAUGAAGUCUUUUGGCUGCAUGAAGACUUGAACUGAUUAACCAAUAAGAGUUCACUAGAGUCACAAUCACCUGAACCAGAAAUAUGAAGUAAGACUAAUGACCAUAGCAAUUACAUAAAUUCUAAAGUUUCUUCCUCACUGCUUCUCAUUUUUGUUUCAACAUCUGUUAUUCUAUUUAAAAAACAACCGCAAAAGAAAGAAAGUAGAAUGGAUUAAGAUAUUGAUGCCUACUAUAGCUGUGAACAAACCUGACCAAAUGAUAGAAGGCAUACACGAAAAUGUAGUAUCCUGGCUUAACUCUCCAAAGUGCUUUGAUUAGUCCAAAAACUCAACCAUGUACUUCUUGAAACUCGAAGAACUUCAGUUAAUAAGUAGCACAAAAAGAUUAUUAAAACCACCCAUAUGCCUCCUAAUGCAUUGUUAUACCUGCAAAUGGACAUAAAAAUUCAAGUACAAGAGCAACAAAAUUCUCUUCGAAUGUUUGAGUUUAUGACUAUCAUACAUGCUAUUGAAAACUAGGAAAUAUUAAUGCAUUCAAGUUACAGAACGGCCAUUAGUUGAAAAAAUGUUUCUACCACUGGUUUUAAGUGCUUGCUGGAGAGCUUAAAAUACAAAGACACUGUAUAAAAUGGAACAUCUACAGUAAGUAGUUGGUAUCCAAUGGGCAUUAAAUGGUUUUGCAUCCAAAAUACGUGCAUUUAAGCAUCACUAGUCUUCAGGAUAUCCAGUGCUACCUUGGCCACAAUUUGGUACAACAGUUAAAGACUAGGAAAUAUGUUUUCAACUUUGACCCGCAUUGAAGUUUUCUUAGUAACAAAGAGGUUUACCCAUGAACUUGGUUUGCACGCUUCGCUGCUGUGAGCAUCAUAUAAAAAUCUGUUGAAUGUAUUCAGAAAAGGGUCCUUAUCCAAGGCAUUGUUUAGAAAUUGCGCAAACAAUCAAAGAAAUAAAAUAUAGCAAAAUCUUAAAUAAGCCCCCUAAAUUACCUUGUCAAAACAUUCCAACUAACAACACCUGUUUCACGUUCUUCUUGCUUGAUAAGUACAAUUUCCCUCCUUUCACUUUCAUUUUGGAACCUGCUUUUUGUGGCAAAUCAUUUCCCCAUUAGCGCUGGUUUUGAGCUUUUGUAGUCCAAAUUUUCACUGUUCUUUUCUUCCACUAGCUCUUCCAUUUUCCCUGCAUUUUCCAUCAGCUUCUUGAACAACUUGCCAUUUUUAGACAGUUCCUCAAAGGUUCCCUCCUCUUUAAUCAUACCUUCACUGAGAAGAAUAAUUUUAUCCACUUGUGGAAGAAAAUGUAGCUGGUUGGUGACAAGAACCCUGGUUUUUCCUUGCAACUCGUCCUUAAUACAACUGUUGAAGACCUGUAAAUUUGAGAUUAGGCUAAUAUUUAGCUUAAACAGAAGCUUUUUAAGCUUGCUUUUAGAGCUUCGAUGUGUAAAGUAGCGAUUGUCAAAGUCAUGAAACACUAAAGUAAUAUGAAAAAGAAACAAAGAAAUUCCCUCGAACUCAUAACCUGGUCUUCAAGAAAUAGCAUUGUUGGAAUAAAGUUAUUGAAUGUUCACUUUGUAUAAAGAAAGCUUAAUAAUAAAGAGUUGCUCAUCACCGUGAACCAUAUCAAGCUCGCUAUAAGAUAUAGCAGGUAGCACUAGUGAUCAAAUUAACUUUAAUGUGAGCUUAUAGUAUUUAACUUGACCCAGUACCUGUCGACCAACAUGAGCAUCUAAAGCACUUAAAGGGUCAUCAAUAUGUACACAUCUGAAUUGGAGUAGACAGCCCUAGCCAUGGAAACUCUUUGCUUCUGCCCUCCACUUAUAUUGACUCCCCUUUCACCUAUCUCAGUGAGGUCAUGGCCCUGAAUAAACAAUUAUGAGGUAAUCUUCUAAGAGAUAUUUCAAACAAAACAGAAAAAUCAAGAGAGAGAAGAAAGGGAUGCACUUAACUGGAAGCAAGUCGAGAUCAUGUUGUAAUGCAGUUACAUCAAUAGCUUUCAUAUAGCGUGAAGGUUCAUAUUCUGACCCAAAUAAUAUGUUGUCACGGACCUGUAAGAACAGAUUUUCAAUGUCAAGAAUGUGCACAACAUUAAUGCAAAACCUGAGAAGAUCCAUGAAACUUGGCUUUGAAGUACAGAAGCACUACAAAGAUACAAAAUAAAUGAUAAUUAUGUAAGAGACCAAAAUUAAUUAACAAGGAAGAAACUAAGCUGUAACUCACAGUAGCAUUGAAGAUCCAUGAAACUUGAGGAACAUAUGCAACAGUCCCUCUUAUAACAACACUUGCAGCUUCCAUAGGAGGCAGUUCUCCAAGCAUUGCUGAUAUAAGAGAUGUUUUUCCUUCUCCAGUCCCGCCAACAAUUGCAACUAAGCUGCCAACUUGUAUUUUUAAAUUGAUAUCUGACAAAGUUGGCUUUUCUAGCUGGAAAAGGCAUGAAAUUCUAAGAUUUCUUGAAUAAGAAGCAUGUCUGAGCUUUAAAAUCAACAAGUAUACCACAAGAAAUAACGUGGUGUUUAUUUACCACCACACUUCCUAACAAUGUUUCUAGUAUAAUUCCUAAUUUAACUAUGUUUAGAAUACAAAAUUCCAAUCAAGUGCAAAUACAAAAGAUUCAAAUAAAUAUCAAAUUCAACUUCCAUCAAACCACAAGACCAAUUUCUUAGAUGCUUAAGAUUUAGAAGUUAACCUUUGAAUCCCAUAAAAAGUUCCCAUUUUCAAUUGAGAUGGUUGGAAUUCCAACUUUAAGAGGCAGAUUUGGUGCUAAAAUUCUCUCUUCAGCUAGAAAUAGUUCCUCCAAGCGUUGCAAUGAUAUAUUUGCAUUUACAACCUACAGAACAAGUUACAGUUAGACACCUAAGAAAGAAUACAGCCAAUAUGAGUAAUCAUACAACACACAAGGUAAGCUAAUUAGCUCUUGACUAAAUAACAUGAAUUUUGUUGUAAGCACCUAAUACAGCCACAUAUUCAUUGAAGAACAUGAUAAUUUUGUCUUGAGAUAGAAUUAUGCAAGAAAAUAAAGCUAGUAAUUUUUUCAUUUAAAAAAGUUCUUUAUAUCUCUCCAACUAAGUUUUGGCAUAAUUAUAAAUAUUUUGGUAUGAACAUUUUAUCUUGGGAUUUUGUUGAUAGAAAAGUAUUUUGUAGGAUUUUUGGAUAGAAGACUUCUUUACACGGGUUUUUAAUAACAAUCCUCGCAUGUUUAAAAAACAACAGGUUUUAGAUAAAGGAUUAAAUUCAUGCUUUUUAGGAAAAACUUGUAUUUCAGAUCAUUAAUCUUUUUUUCAAAACAGCCAACCGCACUAGCAAACACAAAUAUGAUAUGUGACAUGAAACAUGAAGAAUUAUGACAAGAAUGCAAGGACUUGUUUUUUAUUUUUUGUUUUGAGGGGGGAUCGGUUUGCAUCAAAGGCAGUGCUGGCAUCAUCAACAAAACUUGUAUAUUAUCAAUUAUUAUUAGUGAAAUAGAAAAAAUAACAGAACCUGGCUUAGUAAGCUAGGAAGCAUGUUUAGAGGAGAUCUUAAGACUUGAAACAAAGAGAGUGACGUAAAUGCCUUUGCAGGUGUCAAAUCUCCGCCAAGAAAGGUGAAUGUGCCAAAUGAAACCAGUGUCACAAUAACUGGGAUGAUGUUCAGUAUAAAACUAUUGAACUGCAAAAGAAGGGAAAUAGUCAGUCAAUGCACAUGUAAGGUUCUCGUACAUUUAACACCAGCAGCACAUAAAGAUUGCAGUGCUUUGGUUAGUAUUGCAUUUGCAUAUAGAGGAUGAAGAUCACUUAUGCAACAAAAUAAACGAAAAAUCAUGCCCUUUCAAGUGAUUAGUUAUAGUGUCUCCAUGAUCAUUAUAAUUCUACCAAAUUAGAUUAACUGAUAUGCUUAUUUACAUAUUAGAGGAGCAAAUCAUUAUAAUUAUACCAAAUUAGAUUAAAUGAUAAUCAUAUUUACAAAUUAGAGCAAAAUAAAUGAUAAAAUACAUGUUAGAAGCAUUGUUUGGAAAUAGAUUUUAACAUUAUAUAUAUAGAUACUUGUUCUCUAUCGGAAUGUAGUUGCAUACUCAAUCAAUAAGUCAAAAUUUAAAUGCACAAGCUUCUCUCUCUCUUUUUUUAUUUUUAUUUUGACUGAGGUGCACAUACUUAUCAUAACUCAUAGGUAUACAUGACUCCAUAGGUGGUGGGAUGUAGGAUAUGAUAGAAAUUUUGGCAAUUGUUUCUUCUCAAGACAAAUCAUACUUCAUAGUUGGAUCACAUUUACAAUUUUCUAGAUUUCACUAUGAAUAUAAUUUUAAAUGGUAUCAUUGAAGCAUCAUGCUUUUUGCAUGUUCUUGGAAGAGAAGGAGCAACAAAAUAAUCAGCAAGAUAUAUAGUUUUUUCCAUACAGCAGAUAGUAAUUGUGCACUGCGAAACCAUGACAACUCAUCAUCCCGCACAAUUUGAAUUCUGGAUUGAAAGCUCUUCUCCCAUGCAUAACAUCUGAAAUAUUUCAUUAUAGACUCAAAACAAUCACUUGAAAUGACAUGACACUGAAAAUAUAAAAGCAAUUCUUCUUAAACUUAAACCAUACUUCACAGCAUCCAUGGCAGCCAAGAUUUCAUUCAUGAGGCUAACUCUUUUGUCUGUCCUAUGCAAUCCUUCCUUAGUUAGCUUUCUCAUCUUGCUCAUCAAAAUUGUCUAUCGCAUAAAAAGAUUAAAAGGAAUGAAAAUCAAUUUGGAUGAAAUGAAAAUGGGUCACUUAACUAAAUUAAUUGCACAAUUCUAUCAAACUACAGAAGUAAUGAUACUUCUAAAAUCUAAUGACUUGAUACAACAACUCUGAGCAUAUAAUACACAAUUUAUCUAUGGAUUUUAACUAAAUUUUGUAACUUGUGCUGGAGUUAGAAAAGGUAACUUCUGAUUUCAUGUUUUGACUCAAAAUAUCUUUUCAGGCAUAAAAAGACAGCAACUUGAAGUGAUAUGCAUUGUAAUAUUACCAAACAUAUUAGUAACUUACAAAAUUUACUUGUGGACUUGAUUUACAAUUGAUAAAUUAAAGUAACCCCGCACCUUGCAAAUUGCAAGUCAAUCUUUUAGUACAGUGGAAAUUUUCCUUCCAUAUGUGAGGUGAAACGCUCAUAUAAGGAAGGAAGAGGGGCAAAUGUUAUAUCCAAAAUUUAGUUAGGCCCAAUAAAUUUGUUUAAAUGUAUAAGAGGCAUGCUAAUUGGAAACUCUCAUAACAAGAAAAACAGUUAUAAGAGAUAAGCAUGUGGAUCGAUUUUCCCAACAACCUGGAAGAGAGUGGAGACUAAUGAAGUGUGAUAAUAGCAGGAAUUGACAACAAAGAGAAUUACAAGACAAUGUGGAUGGUCGGAAAAAGAACGUGGAGCAUUGAAAAUAACGUAACGAGACAAUAAGGUAUUAAUACAAGUUGAAGUAGAGGAAAAACACAUCAAUCAACACGUUAACAACACAACAAUCAACUUGCAAACUGCAAACAGCUCUCGGAGCUCUUUCUCCCAAGUUUCAGGACACCUGAAGCUUGUUAUGCUAUAGCUGUAGGCAAUAACACCAUAGGCUGAUAGAUAGAUUUGUAUGUUAUAGUUUGGUUACUCGGGUUCUACUUUGUAAAUUAAAAGUGUCUGUAAGCUCUUAAACAAUCUUCUAGUACUCAAUUCUUGCAUGAAUAUCAUGUUUGAAGGAAGAGUCCAGGUUUGUAAACAAAAUUUCUCACCAAUGAAAAUAAGUUCCCUUUCUAGUCUUGAGUGUUAUUAAAGUUGCAAUCUCACUUUUGUUACUUGUAUGUUGCUUGAUUCCAAAAUUAGUAGCAUAAGCAUAUUAUUUAUUGCCAUAAAGUUUGGAGAGUAUAGUCAUCGGUUUAGAGAUCAUCUUUAUUAUACACACAUAACAGAAAAAAGUCAUGUUGAUGGUACAAAAAUGGUGUAAUUAAGCCUUCAAUUGUAUGAGGUGUUGGGUACCACACCAUUGUUGCUUAUUUUUAAGAGUUGAUGUGGCACAAUUAUAUUGCCAUGGUUCAACCAGCCUGAGUCAGGCGGUUAUGGAGGUUUUUGGAUGAUUCGAUCAAACCAGUCUUUAAUGGUUCUUGUAGGGAAAAUUAUAAGUUAAUCUAUUCCCUCAACCUAGACCAUUCUAGAUCUAAUUCACCUAUUAAACUAGCAGGUCCAGUUUAGUUCUAAUAACACUAGUACACCCAACAAACCAACAAGCCAUUAAAGAAUAUUCUAGUGUGCCUACGUAACUUGAAAGCUAAGCCAUCUAUUCACACCUUAAAUAGACCUUGCCAUAUGAGGAGACCUUCAUACACACAAAAAAGCUACUCUAUAAGUUAUGAGCACAUCAAUUAACAUUUUGGAGUGCUUGAAAAUUUUAUUUUUAUUGAUAUUAAAUAAAUUAUGGUUGAUUUGAAUGACGUGAAAAGAUCAAUACAAUAGACCCCAUCUAGUUUGAGAUUGAGGGACACUUGUUUGUUGUGUCAAUAUUAAAACAAUAUAAAGGAAUAGCACACAUAUUGUAUAUUAUAAAACUAAUUAACUAAGACAAGCAAAUGUUGAUUCUAAGAAUCAAAACACUAAAUUUAGCAAAAGGAAGAAUAUUUCUUACUUGUGUGGGGACCAUGAGAACAAGCAUUAGCGAGCCAAAAAGUGAAGCAACACCUAAUUGUUGAUAAAGAAGAACCAUGGAGAUGGUGAUACGAAAUGGAGCAGACCACAAUCCAUGAAGUUGUUGGCAUAUUUGCUACACAAUACAAUGGCAGUGCAUUUUAGACCUUAAUAAACAAUGGAAAAAGAUCGAAUAUUGGAGAGGAAAGGUAAAAAUAAAAAUAGGAUAAAUGGCUUGAUGUGUCCAUGUAUAAUUAAAAAGGUCUCCAAUAUUAUCUCUUUUAUCCUUGUAUAGGACUCACAUUCUUUAAUAUGUUCCUUUAAAUUUUGCCAUCUAAAUUGAUAAAUGUGUAUUUUUUUGGUUUCAAAAUUACCCUUAAGCAAUACAAAGAUGUACUAUAAAUAAUUGAGAAUGUAGGGACAUGUUGGAGAUUUCUCCAACUAUAUAACUUGUAAAAUUAAUUUUUUAAUUAGCAAAUUGAUUCAUUAAUUUUAGGGGAAGAUAAAGGGAUGUUAGAGAGUCAUGUAAUUUAAAACAACUCAAAACAUAGUAGUUGUUUUUUUUAUAGAAUAAUUAUAGUAGUUAUUGAUUAAUAUAUUAAAUGUUCAACUAUAAUAAAAUUCUUAUAUUCCUUUUAAAAAUUAAUUAUUUCAUAAUUCACAACCUAAAAAACAAUGGUUAUCUCCCUCUUCCCUUGGAAAUUCAUUGUUACAUAUAACUCCCAAAGCCAAGAUUCGAGAACAAGCCAAUCACACAUAGGAAGGACAAAAAUGUUGGCCACCUCCCUCCUCCCCAAGUUUUUAAAAAUGAAAAAAUUAAGUUUUGUUUAACAAACUUCAUUUUAAACAAAAUUAAGAACUCAAAAUAUUUAUAAUGUUUUAGAAAUUAAGAAUUAGUUUUUAGGAAAAACUACAGUUCUUGAAAAUGUAUUAAGAAAUAAAAGAAAAUGUGAAAAUUGCUCAAACAUUAAAAAAUAUCACAAUAAAACAAUUAAAAAAAAGUAAGGACAUGAUGAAGACUUCCUAAUUAUACAAGGACAAGGUCAUUUGGAUAGGAUAUCAAUAAGUAUUUAUGAUAUACAAAAAUUAUUUUAUUGCCAUUAUAAUUUCUCUUCAAAUUCAUAUAAUAUAUAAUGUUCCAAGUAGACACUCACUCUAAUGAAUAAUUAAUUCUCUUUUCUCAUGACAUGAGUCAUUAAAUGCAUAUUAAUAGUUCUUUAUAAAGAGCAUACCUGAAGUGCAUUGGCAUCUGUUGUGAUCAUAUUUGUUAUUUUACCUGAUGGGAAGUUCUUUCGACCCUUAUGAGUUAGUUUCAAGGAUUUACGAAAUAUAGCAGCCACCUGCAAUUGGAAAAGGCUGCUGUAAAAAUAGCUAACUCAUCCAGAAACAACAAAGCAAGAAUUUGGAUUUGGCGAACAACCAAAAUUCCAAAGAAAAAUGAUGCUGAAGGAUAUAUUUGAAAACAAGUUCACAUACAUCUAAAUAUUGAUAAGAAAAUAGUUUUACCAGAGUUGACCUCAGCUGAAAACCAACACGCAUAACAUUCUGGAAAAACUGAGAUUCACAAAGCGCACCAAACAACUGAACCAUGUAAAUCAACCAAUUAAUCCAAAAACUAUAUUCUAUUGGCAAAUAUACAUAGUAUAAUAAAUUUAGCCAAACAAGAAGAAACAUGGUUAGGAGAAUAAUGGGAGUGGCUAUCCACAUAGUCUAGCAACAUUUAGAUACAUGAAGAAUUGCUUGAUUUUAUUUGUCACAACAUUAAACAUUACAGUGGCUAGUUAUACUAUGUUACAAGGAAAAUUACGAGUGGCUAAGACUUCUUAAGUUUUUGGACUCGAUGAACAAGUAACAUUACCUUGACGAUCAUAUGAUCAAGUGAUACUCAGCUACCAAAGGAGAAAAGAUUGAAAUAAAGCAACAAAAAAAUAUUUAAAUUAAGGAAAAAAGAUCUAGAAAACAAUUUAAAAAAACAACAAUAAAGCUAGAAUAAAUAAGUUUAAUGUUUUAAGCAACAAUUGAUAUGAUUUAUUUGAUUGAUUGGUGACAGUUUUGCUACAAAAUCAGCUACACUUCAUAUUUAUAUACUCAAAGUCAUAUAACAAACACUCUAUAAAAGGAAUAUAAAUCCUCCAAAACUACUUGAUUUUUAAAUUUAUAACUUUGACUAUCAGUUAGCUUCACUAUCAACAAUCCCAAAUACAAGUGUAACCUGCAGUUGAACAUUUUGCGAGUACUAAAGGCUUCUCAAUUAUCAUUAACAGUAGUUAAAUGCUUAAAACACUAUUAUAUCAACUAGAAAAUCCCCAAAUAAAACCUAACCAAAUAUGUGCAAUUAAAUGAUGAAAUAUGUAAACUGAGUUGCUUGAAUGUUAAUACAUACAAUGGAAUAUAUUAUGUAUGCCAUAAGAUCAAGCUAAGGAAAUAAAACAGAUAACAUCAUACGAACAGUGAAAUUAAACAGAUGAAGGUAGAGAAAAAUGUUUAUACAUAUUCAAUUUGUUUCAUAUAAAAAUGAAAUUGAAAGAAUAGAUGAGUUCGAAUUCAUACCACCCCAAGGAAAAUUAUGAAGGCAUAGAUAUAACCAAUCCAAGCUGGAUCACCUCGUUGCAUUGCCUGCAUGUAGUGGAACAAUUACAAAUUUGGCAGCAUAAGCACGAUGUGUAAGAGAUUUGAAUUGUGCUACAUAUCAAAUUUGAGUUACUCAAUUGAACUAUUUCUAUCAUAGGAAAAAUGCUAUUCAAUAGAGCAAUUAUUGAAGCAUAGAAAAAAUAAUCUUUGACUAAAUGUUGAGAGACAUUUGGUGCAAUCAAGAAAGCACAUAAAAAGAAUAUAGAUUAUUAUUAGUAUUAUCAAAAUCCUUCUGUAUGAAAUCUAAAUAAAUUCUUACCAAACAUGAAACGCUAGCUAACAGCAAAAUCGAUGUCAUGCAUUAUAUAAAACAAGGCUUUAACAAUAAAAAAACAGACCUGCAAGAGGUGGCUCAAUACAAUAGGUCCCACAAAUUGAGAAAGAUCAUGGCCAAUCUACAAGUAAAAAUAAAAAGGUAUAAGCCCCACAUGACUUAUGACAUUAGUAGAGAGUUCCUAAAGUCCACUUUGUUAGGUUUUAGUCUAGAACAUCAGUUUGGAUUGAAAUUGUUACAAUAGCAGAGAGAAAAUAUUGCAGGGUCCAUAACUAAUAAAGGUUGAAAUUGAGAGUAUUCCCUACAAUUUAACAGUUGAGGCAACAAUUUUGAUAUAUAUUAUGAGUCGAGCAAUAAUAUCCCAACAUGCAAUAGGAAAAUAAAACUAAAAAGCUCAAGCUUCCAAGUUCACCAAAUUCAAACUAUAAGAUAGAAAAAGUAAGGAUGUUAAUUUAUUGAGAGAUUAAACAAGUUAAAGCAAUCCUAGGAACAUGUACCUUAAAAAAUCCUCCCAACCAAAACCUAGAAAAUGAGAGAUGAAAAUGAAUAAAAUGCGAUUAAUAUAUAUUGGUAAUAGCAAAAGAAAAUAUUUACUACAAUAAGCUAAAUAGUAGAAACAUCUCGUGCAUUGUAAGUAAUUUUACAACACUCCUGAUAUGUUUUUCUUAUUUAAACCUGUAAACUAUAGGAUGUUUUCAUUUGUAUUUCUUCUCUUAGAUUUAUCAAUUUUAGUUUUUAAAUACCGUGUAUAUGCCAUCUGUUUUUCUCAUAAAUCAUCAAUAAAAUCAUAAGAAUUAUAAGGGUUGAUUUCUUGAUGAUACUUUGAUCAUAAUGUUGUUGGAGGGUGAUUUCUUGAUGAUUUUUUUAUCAUUUUCUUUUAUGAUUUUGGAAAAAAUUAUAGGAAAACAAGUGGAACUCAGAUUCUAAGUGAUGGAUAAAUGGACAGAAUCUAACAUAAAGGUUCUAAAUCAAAACACCUUAUAAUUUAAGAGUUGAAAUAAGGGAAAACAAUUGUUAAAGGGUCUCAAUCAAACAAAAAACAUAUAAUUCAGGAGGUUUUACGAAGGAUAAAGCCACCAUGGUAUGUUUAAAGUCCAAAAAGUAUCAAAAUGAAAGGGAAUGAAACAACAUGAGACUUGCAAUUCAACCCAUACCUUCCCCCAAGACUACUGUUUAGUGCUCUUAAGAGACGUGGCUUUGGCCUUUUAAAUUCUUCAACCCAACAAGUCUGGAACCUGCAAUAGCUGAAAACAUUUAGGAAAAAAGGGAUACGAGGUUUCCCUUAAACUAUGAAAGAGAAGAACGUGGUGCGUACUUUUUUAUCAAUGUCUCAGUCUGGUCCCAUGUGUCUAACUUCCAAACAUCCUUUUCAGUAAUAGGUCUUUUAUGGCCUUGCUUCAUGAGUGGAGUCAACCAUCCAAAAAAUAUUCCUUGCAGAGGGAAAUGAAUCAAUUUAUCUAUAAGCAUUUAAAAAAUUAAUGACUAACCAGCUUAGCAAUCACUGAAACCACACUUUUGAUCUCUAGCCAACAUGCAGUUCAUUACUUUUUCUGUCAUAAGCAACCGCUUGAGAAAUAGAAGCAAGAAUUUUGAGAUCUCUUGGCAUUGAGAACAGUGAAUAAUGAACUACUUACUAGAAAAUAAGUUGGCGUGCCUCUCAGGACAUAAUUGCUCUCUUCCAGGAAGUGCUUCAUAUUCACAAUUAUCAAGAGACUCGGAUUCCAUCAUAACAUAAUCUGGAUAAGGAUCCAAAUUGGGAAUAUAAACAAGUAGAAGAAUCCCAAGCAAAACCUGCAACAAAAGUAGCCACACGGCAAAAUAUGACUGAGGUGUUUGUCAUUUUUGGGAAUGAUUAAGAAUUUGGUCGAGCUAAUGAAACAAAAUUGAACUUCUAUGCCAAGAAUUAGUGUUGAUGUCAUCGGUGUAUUCUAAACAACUCAAUCGUUUUGGUAUCAAUCUGUAACAUCCAAGAUGUUGUGGUGGCCUGUGGAAAAAAAGUGGAUUCAAUCAAGGCUUAAGAACCUGCCAGGCAGUUCGAGUAAGAAAUUGUAUCUAUUGGCUGUUUAGCAUCAGGAUAAGCCUAGAGGUUCCAACAGGCUCCAUCCUAUCAUCUAAAGAUGCCAAUAUCCAUGGCAUUGUCCACUCCCCACCUUUACCAACUUAAGAAAAUCCCAACAAAGAUAUGUUAAUGAGUAUCAAAACAUCCAAAACAAAGCAGCUUUCAUGUCAUUCUCACAAAACUUUAAAAAUUCUCCCUGGAAUGUUGUUGUUAGGUGCUUAAUUUAAAAAUGUUGUUGAUUUGGUUUAUAAGGCCAAGCCAGGCUAGGCUCAAGUUGUAAUGUCCUCCAAGGCCAUGGAAAGUGACUUCAGUUUUGAUAGACUGAAGAAGAGUCAAAAUUUGUACAAAAAACAGCUAGAGAUGUUCACCUUAGCAUAAGCAUUUACCAACCCUGAUUGAAGGCUAUUGAAUGGAUGAUAGGUCAAAGUAGCAUGAAGAAAGAUGAGAGAAUUAAAAGAGCUGAUAUACCCUAUAAUCUUUAUAUUAUAGAGAAAUAAAAGGCCACAAACCUGGCAGAAAACCGUGCUGAUAUACAUAUACAAUGUAAAUCUGCAUUCGCAAAAGAACUGUAGUUUAGUGUUGCCUCCAACAUAAAUUGAAUGAACAGCAGAAAAUAAUACUGUUAAUCCUGCAAGCAUCCUUAUCUAGAAUAACCAUGAAAUCUAUAUUAGUCAUGCCCAUCCAACCUCAUUGCAAAUUGCAUUUAUGCGAUAAACUUGCUUCUUGAGGCUUGUACAGCAGGAUUACCUAUUCUCACCAACAAAUAGUUUAUUUCUGCAAAUGUUUUUUAGCCUGUAUUGCACAAUGUCUUGACUUGCAUGUGGAUUGGAUUGUAUCAGAGUCCACUGACAGAUUGUUCAUUGGAAUUAAAAAUUCAGGAAUUUAAUCCCCACCCCACCCUUCCCUCUCUUUAUAAAUAAGAUGGCAGGACACUUCUCCUGUUAAAAAAUUCAGCUUCUAAAAUUUUCCUUUUCUUAUUCUCAAUUGUGACAAGUUUGGCAGAAGCCCAGAUUGUAAUUAUGGUCACCAUUACUAUCUUUCUAUUUUAUUUCCCCUGAAGCCUACUAUAUAAUUUAGCAUCACUCAUUUUAUCAACUAAGUAAUUACAAUAAUGUUCUCCAGCCAAUAGUACAACAUUGCUAUCUUUUUAUUUGAUGGGGCUGUUGCACAGAAAAAUAAAAAAAACCUUGCUCACAUUAAAUGGCACUCCAACCUGCUGGAAAAAUACACGAAAAUAGAACAUGGUUGAGUUAAUUUAUUAUGUCAGGAAAUGGAAGAAUGACUAACCUACUGUAGUAAUCACUCACUGACAGUAUGAGAUUGAGCAUUGCCGCUUCCCCUACCAACACAUAAAUGACUCCAAACCGCACAUACCAUCGAAACUGUCGAAUGUAUAUUUUUGUUUCCAAACCAAUCAUGGUAAGAGUGGAGCACCAGGCAAGGGCCUCAACAAUCAAGGAGACCAGCUGCAAAGGACAGAAAAUCCACUAAGAAGCCAGUAACAGGAUUAUCAGAAGAACAAGUUAAAUACAGAUUUUUUUGAAAAACAAAAGAAAAGAAAGACAGCCAGCAAAUGCUGAUUUAGAAAUAUGGUUUAUCUUUGACAGAUACUUUAGAAGUCUAAAUUAACGAGAAAUUAAGUUCAUGUACCUCGAAGGGAGAAAGGGAAGUCUGGCCAUCCAGAUUGAAGAUUGAGACAUCCAUAAACAACCUUAAUAAAGGCUGAACUGUGCAGUAAGCAGCCAAAAAACCCAGCAUGUAAUUAUAGUAAUUUGUCCCGAGACAGUAUUUUUGAACUUUGGUAUUGUUGUCAAUAAUCAACCAUAUUCGAUACAAGCACAGACCAAGAAGAACCAGAUGAGAAAUGCAAAUGACUAGGGAGUCAAUGGCACAGGGAGUGUAAGCACCAAAUGCAUUAUCCACUUCUUUUGCCCAAACCCCAUUUGACACAGGUCGACAAUACCAAACCAAUGCCUCCAAACCCAUCUUCCCACCUCCCUAAGCAAACCAAAACUGCUUGCUUUACCUACAGUUGAUCAAACAGAGAGAGGAAAACAGAAGAAAAACAUAACAAAAUGAGUAACAGAACACAUCGCUAAGGAGAACAGCAAGUACAAAUAGUACUGAAAGAAAUCUCUAACAUUAACAAGUUUAAAUGAUAGAAUGGUCAGCUUGCUUGUUCUGACACUCCUACUGGUCCUUUGCAGAACGAAUGAUAUCUGAGCGUGUUGAUUAACGUCAGAAACAUAAACUAGAGCUAGGAGUGUUGCUUUUUCAUUUUCAGGAUAGUCGUUUAUUUGCUUAAUUUAAUAAGGAGUAUAUAAUUUUAUUUUUUUUGGAUAAGGUUUAUAAUAUAUAGUAUUCAUGGAAAUACAAACGACAAAUGGAAAUCUAUAAAGGUAAUUCAAUGGGUUAGGUUUUAAAUUUAAUUUUUAAUGAUUAUAAGUUUGAGUGCUGGUUUAUAUAAUCAUUACUUUUUUUAAAGGUAAAAUUAAUCAUGCUAUAUACAAGUUGUUUGAACAUCCAAGUUAAAAAAAAAAAUCCAUAAUAGCAAGCGUCACGGCUUACUUGACUGGCACUCCCCUCUCACUGAUUAUUCUUAUUUAUGAACGAGUGAGUGAGUAGCAGGCAUCCAUACAACUAAUUUCCAAAGCUGGUGUUGCAUUUGGAAGCAUAUACUUUUACAUUAAUGAAGUCAGUGAUUAAUUGUAAAUUAAAAUGCCACCUAUGGCGGGGAGGGGAUUUUGUAAGCCUCGGAUAAUUUAUUUCCACCCUUAUUUUGUCUCUUCUGUUGCUUGAUCUAGCUGGAUAUAUUUGAAAGUAUGGUUAAAAGUAAAUUACUUUUCAAAAUAAUAUAUUUUCCAAAAGCAUACUUAGUUACUUUGCUUACAUCUCUGUUCUUAUCCAAUAAUCUGAGACUUUGAGUAUAUAUUGUUUUUUUAUUAUUAUUUUAAUGUGACGAUAUUAAAAAUAAAUUUUAAAAAAAUUAUAUUAUUUUAAUAUAUUUUUAAAUUAAAAAAUAUUUAUCAUAAUUUUUAACAAGCUCUUAUCAACCCAUAACAAACGGACUCGCUAUUCAAAAGCGACCUUCAAAAUCCAUUGCAAUUUCACGAAGUAUCAGAAUUAAAUUAUGAAGAACAACACUUCCAAAACUGAUUUAAAGUUUGUUCACAAGUAUGGAAAUAAUUCUAGUUUAAAUUAUUUUUUGUUAAAAAAUAUAUCAAAAUAAUAUUUUUUUUAGUUUUUAAAAAUUAUUUUUGAUAUUAAUAUAUUAAAAUAAUUUGAAAAUAUAAAAAAAUAAAAUUUUAAAUAAAAUUUUUUUUAAGUUUUUAGAAAAUAUUAUUUCAGUUAUAUUUCCAAAUAUUAUCUGAUAUGAUUAUAUUUUUUUAAAAAUUAUUUUUUUAUAUUUUUUAAUUAUUUUAAUGUAUUAAUAUUAAAAAUAAAUUUUAAAAAUAAAAAAAUAUAUUAUUUGAAUAUAUUUUUAAAUAAAAAUAAUUUAAAGAACAACUACAAACAACCAACCUAUUAGAACUUUUAUCAAACACAUUAAAGGCACACAAUUUCUUAUAGCGACACAGCAACAACGAAGAACAAAUCUUUGAGAGAGAAAAACCCCAGUUUAAAACAAGAUUAAAAACUCACCUUCGAGAUCAGGAGGAUACCCAUGGUAAACGUAGCAAGUAUCUUUUUGCUAGCCAGAGCCAAACAGAAGCGAUCAACAUUCAACACAAAGAAUCCCCCCAUGAACUUAGCCAUCUGCAGACUGAACAUGCCACUUUGCCUUUGGGCAACAAAUUCAUGAAGAAGAAGAAGAUAUUAAGAAAAACGAACAAAGAGUAGCUUAAUCAUGUUAAGGCUUCACCUUAACAAAGCUAAAGAGCUUAAAAAUCGAAGAGAGAAUUAGAAGAAGAAAAGAAAUCGAGGGAGAAGUAGAAGAAAGAGAGGGAGAUUGAAACUGUAACCGCAGAAUUUAUUCUUUCAUUACCUGCCUUACAAGUUCUUCGAACUCUAGCCUCCUAACCAUCUCAACUGACUAUAACUAACAAUUAACAGCUCUGACCAGCUAACCACCGUAACUAGCUGACUUUCAUCACACGCCCUUUUUUAUAUUUACACUUGCGAAAUAAUUUAUUUUUUCAAGAGAAAAAUUUCAUCUUUUUUCUUGCAUCAUCAGCAUACAAAAGGAGGAGGUGAAAGAGAGAAGUAGAACCUGCCGUAGUCGUCCAAUGCAUUAGCGGGCGUCUGUUUGAAUGAACUCUUGAUCGAUCACAAUAAUUGGAAUGUACGCGAUCUUUGGCCAAAACACUUAACUUAUACUACACAUUUCUUUUCUUCAAAAAAAAAUAUUUUGAAUUAUUCUAUUAUAUACUUCUAACUUAAGAUUAUUUUAACUCCUUUUAUUUAUAAAUUAUCUAUGAAAUAGUUUUUAAAUUAAAACCUAAAGUCGCAUUCCAUGAGCUCAAGAUUAUAAUAAUUACUUGCUUAUUAGAGAGAGGUUCGUGGUUUUUAUAACCUUUUUAUAGCUAAUUAGCACGUUGAGCAAAUUUAUUUUUUAAAUUAAUAAUUUUCACUCUAAGAUAAAGAUAAUAGUUGUGCAUGUAGCAUGCACAACCUAUAGUUCACAACAUAUAGUUGUUGCAAAGGUUUUAUCAUUUGAUUUUGUUUGGCUAGGUGUUUUUUUUUUUUUUGAGAGUGAUAAUGUAGAUUAUUUAGCUAAAAAUUUAAAAUGAAUUUUACUAUAAGUUGCAUAUUUACUACAUGUGCAAUUAUUGUUUAUGAGAUAUAAUGAAAAUUAUUUUCUCAUUAGAAAAUAAUUUUAUCUACAGUGUUAAUGUGCGGAAUAAACUCACCUUUUUUCCUUUUUUUUUAUCAUCAUCAACUACAAUAACAACAAUAAAGGGGGUAAAAUUACCCUUAAAAAAAUACUUAAAAUAAAUUCUAAUUUCUUUAAAAGAAAAACCUCCUUUCAAUAGGUAGUUAUAAAUACAGUCAGUACAAAAUUGUUAGUGACAUCUAGUUCUUCCUCUUUAGCUAAUUUUUUUUUUUCCAGACUAUGCAAAUCCAAAAUGCUCCCCAAUUCCAGUCCAAGCCCUGGACAGAAGCUUUAUAUAUACAUAUACAUAUAUAUAUACAUAUAUAUAUAUAUAUAUAUAUAUAUAUAUAUAUAUAUAUAUCCCACUUAACAAAUCUUAAAAUUAUUUAGCUGAGAUUUGAAAUUAGCAUUUUAAAAUUUAAAGAAUCGGAACACAUUCUAUCUUAUAUUGAAAAAUAUAUCUCAACCUUUGUAAAUCAAUCACAUCUUAUUUUUAGUUUAUCAUAUAACAAUGUAUAUUUAAAUACAAUAAAAAAUAAGUUUACUUCUUUUUAAUUUAUCUUAUGUAAAUAUAUGUUUACAUACAUUACAAAUUAAUACAUAAAUUAGUUAUUCUUUAUAAUAAUUUUAACAUGUACUGUCAACUUUAAGUACACUUUUAAACAAACACUUAUAACCUGUUAUUUAUUAAAAAUUAUUUUGAACUAUAAUUUUAACAAAACAUAUAUUUAAAUCAAAUAUACUACAAUAAAAAGUGAUUUUUGAAAACCAAUUUUUUUAAAAAAAUUUAACCAUAAAAACAAACUCACCUUUACAUAAGAUGAGCAUAUGUUUAAAAAUUGUUUAAUUAUAUUACGUUUUGACCGAUACACCACCAAAGUCGUUGUAGUAUAGUGGUGAGUAUUCCCGCCUGUCACGCGGGUGACCCGGGUUCGAUCCCCGGCAACGGCGCUUUUCUUUUUAAUCUUAAUCGCCUCUUCUUGAUUACUUCUAUUAAAGCCUAACGAAGUAAUAAACCUUCAUUAUUAACAGUCAUCAUACGGCUUUUUUUUUUUUUUUUGGUAUAGAAGAAUUUAUUUUUUUGCUAAUUUGUUAACAUAGUCUUCUUUUUUUUAUUCAAGGGAUCUCUCUCAUUUAUUUAUUUUCCUUAAAUUACUUGAAAUAAUAAAUACUUGAUAAUUUUUUUUUCAUUUUAAUACAUAAUUCCCCCCCCCCUCUCUCUAUGUGGUAAAGUUUUAAAUAUGUUUUGAGUGGAGAAAAUAUUUGAGUUUUAGAUAAUAACUCGAAAAUCCACUUGCUAAUCAAAGCUAAAUCUUAAAAAAAUAAUUGACUAGUAAUUAUAUAUGUGAUUGCGUGCCCAUUUUAAAGAGCAAAUUGAACAUUAUUUACAUCUUUGAAAGUCAGAAUCCUCAAAAUCCUUCUGCAAGUCAAUUAAUUAGGGUAAGUAGUUAAAACUAAAUCUAAAUAUUUAUUAGUAGAAAUCUAUGAUUUUGGUUUAAGUAUUUUUAUUUGAUGAAAAUCUCAUGAUGUUAACUGGAAAAAAAUAUUUGAAUUUAUUAACAAGCUAGUUAUAAGAUUUGGUUUGAUUUAAAAUAUCAAUUCAAUAGCCUUCAAUAGGUAAACUAGACCGGUUUACAUUAAUAAAAAAAAUCUAGUAUUUUUAUUAAAAUAUAUAUAUAUAUAUAUAUUUUAAUAAAUCCAAACUACUUCAAUAAAUUUACUAAUUUUACAAUUUAAUCUAUUCGCCUCAUAAUUCUCAGUCUUAUAACUAUGAACAAGAAUUAAAAUUUGUUUGGAUUGUAUAAUUAUUUCAAUCACUUUAUGGCAUCUCUCUCUAAACAGGAAACGUAAGCUUUAAAAUUUAGACACUCAUGUCAUGAAUUAACUGUUGUCUAUUUAAUACAAUAUACAAUCCUUGAAAUUUAUGGAAUUGUUAAAAUUUAUACAGUACACAUUACUUUACAUUAUUAAUUAAUUUUAAUUACAAGAAAAGGUAAAGAUAAUAAGAUUUAAAUUUAUAAUUGCUUGGUCAACAACUUUAUACCAUAUCUAAUUAUUAUUUCAAUCCAAAAAUUUAAAUUACUAAAUGAAAUCUUAAGAUAUGAUUUAUAUUAUUAUGUAACCUAUAAUAUAAAAAAGAUUAUAAAAGGGCUUAUCCUCUUUAUUUUUAUUCUUAUUUAAUACUAAUUUACUUGAUAAAAAAACAUGGCGAUAUGAUUUCAUGUUUAAUUUGAUGAAUAUGUUUGUAUAUUAUAGAAAAGUGAUUGUUUAAUAAGGAAAUACCUAAUUUUGCUUCUAAGACAAAAAGACAAAGAAGAGACUAAUUAAUUUGUACAGGUGGAAAGACUAAUUAAUUUGUACAGGUGGAAAGACUAAUUAAUCAGAACACUUUGUAUAGGAGGAAACAUUUAUUAAUCAAUAAUAAAUUACAAACUGGAACUCUUUCUGCCUUGCCAAUAUCAUGCAGUGGUCCGAAAACCCUAAUACCAGCCUAGUUCCUCAAGUUCAGAUCAAUGCUAAAUUCCCCUGAUAUGGGAUUGACUGUGAUAACUAAUACAAUAUGGGGGAUUUCAAUUGUACAUCAAAAGUUUAUGUAGCAGAGGUUCUCUUUACUUUCAGCAGUCCCAUCUGAAAUUUGCUACUGGAUGAUCACUCAAAAUCGAGCUACCAGCUUUCUCUGUUGAGGUGCAGACUAGACUCGUUUCUUAGAACAUCGAAUUUCCCAUUGUUCCCUAAAUUUUCAAAUCAUCCCAAUCAAGGGAUUCGUUUUCAUAAUCAUAUUGUUGAUGCCUACCGCGUGACAACCUGCCCAUUACAGCCAAACCUGAAACAAUCCGGCCAUGUUGAAUCAGAAAGUGUAGGCAAAACCACUUAUACCUGAUCGUCAAAAUUCACUAAAAAAAAAAAGAAUAACCACGGUUGUUGUAAUGAUCAACUUCUACCACAACUACAAUGCUUGUGCACGCAUGCAAGUAAUCAGUGAACAUAUGUUUAGUGUAUGCACACAGGAAAAUUGUGGCUGUACCUUCAAUCAUUCUGUAGAAAGCUGACCACCAUCCAUCUUGGGGAACUUGGCUCUGUUGCAGUGUAUCACAUAUCGCUUCGUCAUACUUCCCCACCAGGACAUCCUGCAGCCUUAUAACUGCAUCUUUCGUUUUCCUGAGGAUGCUGUCCUCGUCUCCAACAUCCAACAUUGGAAGACCAUUCUCUGAAGAAGCGAGACUAACAACCAGGGCGAGUUGGGCAGCUGCAGCCCAUCUUGAAGAGUCUAUCCAUCUAUGAUCAUUCUUCCUUUUACUCAACUUAUUCUCUUUACUUUCAAGCACCAGGCUAUACAAGUAUUGAGCAUUUGCUGGACCUGUACUUUGAACCAUCCUAGAGAAUGCGCUUCCUUUGUUUGGUAGUAGCAGUUCCUCUGGGGUGCCAUGUUCUAAGACCUGAAAGGUUGAUGAUUCUAACAUGAGUUGAACAAAGGAUCACUACAUGACAUAUUGGAAUCAUAAAAAAAUUGUGAAUGAAGUUGGUUAGCAUGAAAAUUCUUGAUGAUCCCUGCUUCUUUCUUUUUUUACAUUAAUUUUUUCAGGAUUGUGUUCAAUAAACUCAGUUUUCCAAGCAAGAAGGAAACAGGGAACAACUUCCUUGCAAACAUAAUUUGAGAGCAUACCUGAUCAGCCUCAAGCACAAGAAUUCUGUCGCAGUCAAUAAUGGUAUUUAGUCUGUGAGCGAUGACUAGCAUUGUGCAGGAUCUGAAUUCUUCUCGAAUGGUUUUCUGGAUAAGAGCAUCGGUUCUAACAUCAACAGAAGCAGUAGCUUCAUCAAGAACAAGAAUCUUAGAUCUUCGCAGCAACGCUCGUGCGAGACUUAGUAGUUGUCUCUGUCCAACACUAAAAUUCUCCCCUCCCUCAAAAACCUUAGAAACCAAAACAAAUCAACUUUACAGUUUGCUUUACCCGAUAAUCAACUUAAUGUUGUGCACAUCUGAAAAAAAUAUGUAUUAAAAACAUUUCUUUGACUUUAAAUCAGCUUUAAUGAAAAUCGAUGCCAUAGUUUUUUAGUAGAAUGUUUGCAGUGGAGCACUAUUUCCACCCAUAUGUGUGCUUCAUAUUAGUUUUUGUCACACAUUUUUAACAUUGUUUUUAAAAUAUAUGAAUAGCUAACACAGUUUGACUGAUUAAGAUUCACUGACAGAAGGUAGUUUGAUAAAAGGUAAUCUAAGUCCAUACCUCAGCAUCCAGACCAAAAGAAUUAUUUCUAAUGGCAUCCUUUAAAUGUGCCCUCUCCAAAGCCUCCCAUAGGUCAGCAUCAUUGUGUUCACUAAAUGGAUCGAGAUUAAAUCGCACAGUUCCUAUAAGAAAACGAAAGACAAUUAGAAUGAAACAAGUGUUAAGAUUAAUCACCACUGUGGCUUCAGCUUGGCUAUGGUUUCUCAAUCAAAUCUCAAGUAUUCUUGGUUAGCAAGCUUUCAAGUGGAAAACAAAAUCAAAACAGAGUAAGAGCAUAAAUCAUCUCAACUCAUCCAAAAGACAGUAUCAGAUGUCAACAUAAGAAAAGAAGUUGAAGAAGUUGAACUAGAAAAAUCCAGUUUUCAGUUUCUCUUGACAGUACCUGAGAAGAGAACUGGUGAUUGGGGUAUGAUACUGAGAAUUUUCCGCAAAUCUGUGAGUCCAAACUUAGCAACGUCACAACCAUCAAUGGUGAUUUCUCCUCUUUCCAGUUCUACAAUACGGAACAGUGCAUUUAGCAUGCUAGAUUUCCCUGCUCCUGUUCUUCCAACUAUUCCUAGCUUUUCACUAGGAGAGACUUCAAAGGACAAAUGAUGCAAGACUGGAGGAAGCUCGGGUCUGUAACGCAGAACAACAUCCCUGAAUUUAAUUGAACCUGAAGAAGGCCAAGCAGGAGGAGGACGAUUGGUCUCGACAAUGGCAGGAGCUUCGGAUGGUAAAUCCAUGUAUGUGCCAACACGCUCAACAGAGUUUAAGCUAUUUUCAGCUCUACUAGCUUGUCUUAGAACAUUACUCAACAAAUCAGUGAUGUUCAAAGUAUAACUAAGUAGUAGACCCAUUACAGAUGCAAAUUCCACAUGAUUUUCUGUUCUUCCAUUCCCCAAAACUGCAAAUGUUGCUAUCAACCAAAUCAUGAUCCCUCCUAGUGUUACCAACCUUAUGGUGAGCCAGCGAUUUGAACUCAUAUUUACAAGAGUGAACCUGAUAUUAUUGUCCAUAGACUUUCCAUUGAUGAUUGCCAUCCAAUCAUAUGCUUUAUAUGCACGAAUACUUGACAAACCAUUUAACGCUUCUCCAAAUUGUGCAUAAACCGGAGACCUGGUAAUGGAAUCCAGACGUUUCACUUCACGGGAAGUGCUCUGUACAAUACAGUACAAGAACAUAGUUAUUAGAGCUUGUAGAUACAAUACUGACAAGAUGAAUUAACUAGCAUAAAAAUGUCAAUUCAACAUUAAUGGAUAUAUAUGAUUGCAGAAACAUUAAUGGAUAUAUAUGAUUGAAGCUCAGAAAGAUAACUCUUACAUGUGGAACUGAUAAAAACAACAACAAUAACUUGAUACGUGAAAGAAACCACUCGUAGAGCAUCCCAACCAAGAUACUAAAGUUACAUUCAUUGCAAAAGGCAUACCAGUUUCCAAACAACAACAACAACAACUAGGGAUUUCUCAUCAUACCUGAUAAUAUAGAUAGGCUGAAUAAAACAAGAUCAGAAGUGGCAUAAUGGCCCACAAUGAUAUUGUGCUCACAAUGCCUAUCAGCACAAAAGUUGAAAACAGCUGCCAGGCUUGGUUUAGAAAAUUGUUGGCAAAAUUGGCAACGUUACGAUCUAUUUCACCUAGAUCCUUCGCAAACCUAUUGAUUAUUCUCCCAGAUGGGUUCGUGUGGAAAAAUAGCAUGGGAGCUCGUAGGAUAGAGUCUAGCAUGGCAUCAUGAAGUCUUUUAGCUGCAUGUAGACUUGAACUGAUUAACCAAUAAGAGUUCACUAGAGUCACAAUCACCUGAACCAGAAAUAUGAAGUAAGACUCUAAUGACCAUAGCAAUUACAUAAAUUCUAAAGUUUCUUCCUCACUGCUUCUCUUUUUUGUUUCAACAUCUGUUAUUCUAUGUUAAAAAACAACUGCAAAUAAAAGAAAGUACAAUGGAUUAAGAUAUUGAUGCCAACUAUGGCUGUGAACAAACCUGACCAAAUGAUAGAAGUGCAUACACGAAAAUGUAGUAUCCUGGCUUAUAACUCUCCAAAGUGCUUUGAUUAGUCCAAAAACUCAACCAUGUACUUCUUGAAACUCGAAGAACUUCAGUUAAUAAGUAGCACAAAAAGAUUAUCAAAACCACCCAUAUGCCUCCUAAUGCAUUGUUAUACCUGCAAAUGGACAUAAAAAUGUCAAGUACAAGAGCAACAAAAUUCUCUUCGAAUGUUUCAUGUUUAUGACUAUCAUACAUGCUAUUGAAAACUAGGAAAUAUUAAUGCAUUCACGUUACAGAACGGCCAUUAGUUGAAAAAAUGUUUCUACCACUGGUUUUAAGUGCUUGCUGGAGAGCUUAAAACUACAAAGACACUGUAUAAAAUGAGAACAUCUACAGUAAGUAGUUGGUAUCCAAUGGGCAUUAAAUGGUUUUGCAUCCAAAAUAUGUGCAUUUGAGCAUCACUAGUCUUCAGGAUAUCCAGUGCUACCUUGGCCACAAUUAUGGUACAGUAGUUAAAGACUAGGAAAUAUGUUUUCAACUUUGACCCGCAUUGAAGUUUUCUUAGUAAAUCAAAGAGGUUUACCCAUGAACUUGGUUUGCACGCUUCGCUGCUGUGAGCAUCAUAUAAAAAUAUAUUGAAUGUAUUCAGAAAAGGGUCCUUAUCCUAAGGCAUUGUUUAGAAAUUGCGCAAACAAUCAAAGAAAUAAAAUAUAGCAAGAAUCUUAAAUAAGCCCCCUAAAUUACCUUGUCAAAACAUUCCAACUAACAACACCUGUUUCACGUUCUUCUUGCUUGAUAAGUACAGAUUUCCCUCCUUUCACUUUCAUUUUGGAACCUGCUUUUUGUGGCAAAUCAUUUCCCCCAUUAGCCACUGGUUUUGAGCUUUUGUAGUCCAAAUUUUCACUGUUCUUUUCUUCCACUAGCUCUUCCAUUUUCCCUGCAUUUUCCAUCAGCUUUUGGAACAACUUGCCAUUUUUAGACAGUUCCUCAAAGGUUCCCUCCUCUUUAAUCAUACCUUUACUGAGAAGAAUAAUUUUAUCCACUUGUGGAAGAAAAUGUAGCUGGUUGGUGACAAGAACCCUGGUUUUUCCUUGCAACUCGUCCUUAAUACAACUGUUGAAGACCUGUAAAUUUGAGAUUAGGCUAAUAUUUAGCUUAAACAGAAGCUUUUUAAGCUUCGAUGUGUAAAGCUAGCGAUUGUCAAAGUCAUGAAACACUAAAGUAAUAUGAAAAAAAAACAGAGAGAAAUUCCCUCGAACUCAUAACCUGGUCUUCAAGGAAUAGCAUUGUUGGAAUAAAGUUAUUGAAUGUUCACUUUGUAUAAAGAAAGCUUAAUAAUAAAGAGUUGCUCAUCACCGUGAACCAUAUCAAGCUCGCUAUAAGAUAUAUUUAGGUAGCACUAGUGAUCAAAUUAACUUUAAUGUGAGCUUAUAGUAUUUAACUUGACCCAGUACCUGUCGACCGACAUGAGCAUCUAAAGCACUUAAAGGGUCAUCGAAUAUGUAUACAUCUGAAUUGGAGUAGACAGCCCUAGCCAUGGAAACUCUUUGCUUCUGCCCUCCACUUAUAUUGACUCCUCUUUCACCUAUCUCAGUGAGGUCAUGGCCCUGAAUAAACAAUAAUGAGGUAAUCUUCUAAGAGAUAUUUCAAACAAAACAAAAGAAUCAAGAGAGAGAAGAAAGGGAUGCACUUAACUGGAAGCAAGUCGAGAUCAUGUUGUAAUGCAGUUACAUCAAUAGCUUUCAUAUAGCGUGAAGGUUCAUAUUCUGACCCAAAUAAUAUGUUGUCACACACCUGUAAGAACAGAUUUUCAAUGUCAAGAAGGUGCACAACAUUAAUGCAAAACCUAAAAAGAUCCAUGAAACUCGGCUUUGAAGCACAUAAGCACUACAAAGAUACAAAAUAAAUGAUAAUUAUGCAAGAGUCCAAAAUUAAUUAACAAAGAAGAAACUAAGUUGUAACUCACAGUAGCAUUGAAGAUCCAUGAAACCUGAGGAACAUAUGCAACAGUCCCUCUUAUAACAACACUUGCAUUAUAGGAGGCAGUUCUCCAAGCAUUGCUGAUAUAAGAGAUGUUUUUCCUUCUCCAGUCCCGCCAACAAUUGCAACUAAGCUGCCAACUUGUAUUUUUAAAUUGAUAUCUGACAAAGUUGGCUUUUCUAGCUGGAAAAGGCAUGAGAUUCUAAGAUUUCUUAAAUAAGAAGCAUGUCUAAGCGUUAAAAUCAACAAGUAGACCACAAGAAAUAACGUGGUGUUUAUUUACCACCGCACUUCCUAACAAUGUUUCUAGUAUAAUUCCUAAUUUAACUAUGUUUAGAAUACAAAAUUCCAAUCAAGUGCAAAUACAAAAGUUUCAAAUAAAUAUCAAAUUCAAC